AUAUACAAAAAAAAAAAACUUUUUUUUGCCGUUUUCUCCUUCCUUCCCCUCUCCCUUCUCUCUCGAUGAUAACGGCGAUGGUUUCACCGAUUCACCUCUAAUCCGGAAAAAUCAAUCGAUUUCUUAAACUCAAUUUGGCCGGCAUAAAUGUUAGGGUUCUUGAUGUUUGACACCGCUUUGUUGUCGGAUCGGCUUCCAAUCGCUAAGCCCUAACAUUUGAUGAUUUGGUCUUCACGGCCAACUGGCCUAAGCGGACGGCGAGGUCCACCGGCUAGCGAAUUGGGCACACAAGAUUAUUUUUCAGUAGUUUUGUGUACAUGUAUACCUCGUGGACUGCAGACCCUACAUCCUAUGUUCAUCACUUGGUCUGACAAGUAUUUGCAGUAUUUGAAAUUGCUCUCUAGUCCACUUGGUGUUUUUGUUCAUCCAUCUGGAGAGGAGAAAUUGAUAGAUUAAUGGAUAGAUAUCUGCUUCUUCUUUUUAUUGAGAUGCUGAAAUGGGAUUCAGGAAGAUUGUUAAGAUUGCUCACUCCGUGGGGACCAUAAACAGCAUGGCUCACAUGAAGCGGUUUAUGUAUGGGAAGGUCGACUUGGAUUAUGUUCUUGGAAUUGGAGGGUUUGAUCUAGAAAGGUCCGGAAGACUAAUCUCUUAUUACAAGUCACCACAAUGUUCAUGAUCAUGAACACGGUAUGUUAUAGGAUUACCAACAGAAUAGAAGAUUAAAAGUUGUGUAACAUGUAAAAUAUUUUUGUUUCCCUUUAAUAUAAGUAAUUAAAAUAAUUGUU